GGCAAAGGACCGAUAUGGUUCCACAGCUACAACUUCCUACAAUCAGGCUUCUUCAUUGAGUCAACUUGGUGAUGCAGAUUUAUCCAGCUUCACCUUUUCAAAUAGUAAUAAUACGUCUAACCUGACGAAACAAGAGAAUAAAGAUGUUGCUGAAGGUGUUCAUACUGAUUCUAGGCAUGGUUUGUUUUAUGCAACUGAUCAGCAGGCGCAAAACAUGUUUGAUAGGUCAGAUUUUUUUGAUGCAAGUGAUGUAUUCCAACCUCAAGAUUACUCAAUGGCAUUUCAACAGGAACAAUUAACUGCCAAAAAUAAUAAUAUGGUAAGAUCACAUGCAGCAUCUUUAAUUCACAUGCAGUAUUUAACCAUGCACGGCAAGUAGCUGGAAGAUCAAGAUUUCAUAAAGGUAUGGCAAAGCCAAGCUUCUGCAUUCCUUUGUCUGAAAAUGAUAUGGCUAAAUCAUCAAGAAAACUGAUGAAAUUUUGGUUUUUUGGUUUUGGCAGGGAAAUGAUGCAAAAGGGCUUCUUUUUAGUAAUGGAAAAUCCAAGCAAGAAUUGCAAGUAGGCAAAUAUUUGUACAGGCUUUCAAGCAAGCAAAUUCAUUGCAUUCAGUGCUACCAUUGUUCACAUUUUCAUCCUCCAUUAUUUGCUCAAUAUCAAUUAUAUAAAAAAAAUGCAAAAUCAAAUUCUUGAAAACUAUAACAAAAUCUUAAAAUUCAUAAGGUGUAAUGCAACUUUUCAUUGGAAAAGAAGGAAUUAAUCUUCACUUUUUGGUUCACUAUAUUUUCAACCACUUUCUUUUCAAUCAUUUUCAGUAACAAUUGAACCACUCUACCUACAGUUUCUCCUUGUUCCAAAUUAUCCUCCAUUCUCCCAAAAACCCCCAAAUAUAAUGAGGGUAAAAAAACAAAAAGUAAAGAAAAAAAAUCACAUGACUAGUAUCACCCCAAGAAGCAGAAAAAAAAAUUAAUCUUAAAAUUCAUAAGGUGUAAUGCAACUUUUCAUUGGAAAAGAAGGAAUUAAUCUUCACUUUUUGGUUCACUAUAUUUUCAACCAAGUUCUUUUCAAUCAUUUUCAGUAACAAUUGAACCACUCUACCUACCUGCAGUUUCUCCUUGUUCCAAAUUCCCAUAACCCCAAAUAUCUAAAUUUAAACAAAAAAUCAAUCACCUAGUCACCCAAAAGCAAAAAAAAAUUAUCUUAAAUUCAUGGUUAGCAACUUUCUGAAAGAAGGAAUUAAUCUUCACUUUUGUUCACUAUAUUUCAACCAAGUUCUUUCUCAUUCUCAGUAAAAUUGAACCAUUACCUAUACAGUUUCUCCUUGUUCCAAAAUUCCCUCCAUGUCUCCAAAAACCCCCAAAUAUUCAUAAAUGAGGGUAAGAAAAAAAAAAGUAAAGAACAAAUCACAUGACUAGUACCACCCCAAGAAGCAGAAAAAAAAAUUAAUCUUAAAAUUCAUAAGGUGUAAUGCAACUUUUCCUUGGAAAAGAAGGAAUUAAUCUUCACUUUUUGGUUCACUAUAUUUUCAACCAAGUUCUUUUCAAUCAUUCUCAGUAACAAUUGAACCAGUCUACCAACAGUUUCCCUUGUUCCAAAUUCUCCUCCAUUCUCCCAAAAACCCCCAAAGAUUCAUAAAUGAGGGUAAGAAAAAAAAAAAGUAAAGAAGAACAAAUCACAUGACUAGUACCAACCCAAGAAGCAGAAAAAAAAAAGUAAAAAACUAAAUAUUGUCAAAUGAUUCCUAAAAAAGAUUUUUUUUUUCAAAAAAUGAGCGGCCAACUGCCUAUAUAUCAAAACCCAAUUAUAUUUGGGUUAAAAAUAAAAAAAUAAAUGAAAAAAAAAAAAAGAAGAGUAAUGUAGGGCUAUACCCUCGCUUUGGCUACAAGAACUAAAGCAGCAAAGCGGCCAUGGAAAUCCCCCACAAAAAAAUUUGUGUUAGUAUGCGCCUAUCGCACUGACGUGCGCCACGAUAUGUAAAGGACCUCUCUCCGUGGAAUACCACGCCACCCCUUCUUUUACGGGGGAAGCGCUCGGCCUCAGGCCCGCUUUCCAUCGUCCUCAUUUUUUUCUCUUUAUAUAG
rnacentral:lncRNA from 1 species